rnacentral:rRNA from 1 species
UUAAGCGACUAAGCGUACACGGUGGAUGCCCUGGCAGUCAGAGGCGAUGAAGGGCGUGCUAAUCUGCGAUAAGCGCCGGUAAGGUGAUAUGAACCGUUAUAACCGGCGAUACCCGAAUGGGGAAACCCAGUGUGACUCGUCACACUAUCAUUAACUGAAUCCAUAGGUUAAUGAGGCGAACCGGGGGAACUGAAACAUCUAAGUACCCCGAGGAAAAGAAAUCAACCGAGAUUCCCCCAGUAGCGGCGAGCGAACGGGGAGGAGCCCAGAGCCUGAAUCAGCAUGUGUGUUAGUGGAAGCGUCUGGAAAGGCGCGCGAUACAGGGUGACAGCCCCGUACACAAAAGCGCAUGUGCUGUGAGCUCGAUGAGUAGGGCGGGACACGUGGUAUCCUGUCUGAAUAUGGGGGGACCAUCCUCCAAGGCUAAAUACUCCUGACUGACCGAUAGUGAACCAGUACCGUGAGGGAAAGGCGAAAAGAACCCCGGCGAGGGGAGUGAAAAAGAACCUGAAACCGUGUACGUACAAGCAGUGGGAGCCCCACCACCAAAGCAUUCUCUGGUGUUGAAGGCCCUGCAAAGCAGCAUCGCGGUGGCGGAGCGUCGUUUGCGACGCCCAACACACAAAACAAGCGGUGAGUGCUUUGGGGUGGGGUGACUGCGUACCUUUUGUAUAAUGGGUCAGCGACUUAUAUUCUGUAGCAAGGUUAACCGUAUAGGGGAGCCGGAGGGAAACCGAGUCUUAACCGGGCGUUAAGUUGCAGGGUAUAGACCCGAAACCCGGUGAUCUAGCCAUGGGCAGGUUGAAGGUUGGGUAACACUAACUGGAGGACCGAACCGACUAAUGUUGAAAAAUUAGCGGAUGACCUGUGGCUGGGGGUGAAAGGCCAAUCAAACCGGGAGAUAGCUGGUUCUCCCCGAAAGCUAUUUAGGUAGCGCCUCGUGAAUUCAUCUCCGGGGGUAGAGCACUGUUUCGGCUAGGGGGCCAUCCCGGCUUACCAACCCGAUGCAAACUGCGAAUACCGGAGAAUGUUAUCACGGGAGACACACGGCGGGUGCUAACGUCCGUCGUGAAGAGGGAAACAACCCAGACCGCCAGCUAAGGUCCCAAAGUCAUGGUUAAGUGGGAAACGAUGUGGGAAGGCCCAGACAGCCAGGAUGUUGGCUUAGAAGCAGCCAUCAUUUAAAGAAAGCGUAAUAGCUCACUGGUCGAGUCGGCCUGCGCGGAAGAUGUAACGGGGCUAAACCAUGCACCGAAGCUGCGGCAGCGACGCUUAUGCGUUGUUGGGUAGGGGAGCGUUCUGUAAGCCUGUGAAGGUGGCCUGUGAGGGUUGCUGGAGGUAUCAGAAGUGCGAAUGCUGACAUAAGUAACGAUAAAGCGGGUGAAAAGCCCGCUCGCCGGAAGACCAAGGGUUCCUGUCCAACGUUAAUCGGGGCAGGGUGAGUCGACCCCUAAGGCGAGGCCGAAAGGCGUAGUCGAUGGGAAACGGGUUAAUAUUCCCGUACUUGGUGUUACUGCGAAGGGGGGACGGAGAAGGCUAUGUUGGCCGGGCGACGGUUGUCCCGGUUUAAGCGUGUAGGUGUGUGUUCCAGGUAAAUCCGGUUCACUUUAACACUGAGGCGUGAUGACGAGGCACUACGGUGCUGAAGCAACAAAUGCCCUGCUUCCAGGAAAAGCCUCUAAGCAUCAGGUAACAUCAAAUCGUACCCCAAACCGACACAGGUGGUCAGGUAGAGAAUACCAAGGCGCUUGAGAGAACUCGGGUGAAGGAACUAGGCAAAAUGGUGCCGUAACUUCGGGAGAAGGCACGCUGACACGUAGGUGAAGUGAUUUACUCAUGGAGCUGAAGUCAGUCGAAGAUACCAGCUGGCUGCAACUGUUUAUUAAAAACACAGCACUGUGCAAACACGAAAGUGGACGUAUACGGUGUGACGCCUGCCCGGUGCCGGAAGGUUAAUUGAUGGGGUCAGCGCAAGCGAAGCUCCUGAUCGAAGCCCCGGUAAACGGCGGCCGUAACUAUAACGGUCCUAAGGUAGCGAAAUUCCUUGUCGGGUAAGUUCCGACCUGCACGAAUGGCGUAAUGAUGGCCAGGCUGUCUCCACCCGAGACUCAGUGAAAUUGAACUCGCUGUGAAGAUGCAGUGUACCCGCGGCAAGACGGAAAGACCCCGUGAACCUUUACUAUAGCUUGACACUGAACAUUGAGCCUUGAUGUGUAGGAUAGGUGGGAGGCUUUGAAGUGUGGACGCCAGUCUGCAUGGAGCCGACCUUGAAAUACCACCCUUUAAUGUUUGAUGUUCUAACGUGGACCCGUGAUCCGGGUUGCGGACAGUGUCUGGUGGGUAGUUUGACUGGGGCGGUCUCCUCCUAAAGAGUAACGGAGGAGCACGAAGGUUGGCUAAUCCUGGUCGGACAUCAGGAGGUUAGUGCAAUGGCAUAAGCCAGCUUGACUGCGAGCGUGACGGCGCGAGCAGGUGCGAAAGCAGGUCAUAGUGAUCCGGUGGUUCUGAAUGGAAGGGCCAUCGCUCAACGGAUAAAAGGUACUCCGGGGAUAACAGGCUGAUACCGCCCAAGAGUUCAUAUCGACGGCGGUGUUUGGCACCUCGAUGUCGGCUCAUCACAUCCUGGGGCUGAAGUAGGUCCCAAGGGUAUGGCUGUUCGCCAUUUAAAGUGGUACGCGAGCUGGGUUUAGAACGUCGUGAGACAGUUCGGUCCCUAUCUGCCGUGGGCGCUGGAGAACUGAGGGGGGCUGCUCCUAGUACGAGAGGACCGGAGUGGACGCAUCACUGGUGUUCGGGUUGUCAUGCCAAUGGCACUGCCCGGUAGCUAAAUGCGGAAGAGAUAAGUGCUGAAAGCAUCUAAGCACGAAACUUGCCCCGAGAUGAGUUCUCCCUGAGACUUAGAGUCUCCUGAAGGAACGUUGAAGACGACGACGUUGAUAGGCCGGGUGUGUAAGCGCAGCGAUGCGUUGAGCUAACCGGUACUAAUGAACCGUGAGGCUUAACCUU